CUGGCUUCACUUGUUGGUUUCUAUUAUUUUAUAUGUUUUUCUGUUAUUGAUUUUGCAUCAUGCUCUUGACUGUAUGCGGUGAGGUUAUCUUUUCUAGGUAUUCUCUACCUGUGGCGGUGUCUUGAGAAUUCCAAGGUAGAUUACAAAUCAUACAUGCUUAUCAUUACAACCCCGUCACUGCACAUAGGAAAUUUAAUUUAGUAGAAUCUAAACAAUUGGCCAAACAAUCCUGGCAUGUUGCGGACCUACAAUUCUUCAGUGGGAAGACUCGAGAACAAGAUGUGACAAACGUGGCGUAAAUAGUUGAAAUGUAUUGUAACAUGUUCCUCGGACCGUUCAUGUUACCUCCGAUGCCUAUAUGAGCAUACUUGGGCAGAAGCGUGUCCCUCACUAUAAAAUCCUAAAAAGAGUAGCCAACAAAGUGCAAGUGUGAUAUGAUACAAG
rnacentral:lncRNA from 1 species